rnacentral:rRNA from 1 species
AGAAUCAACGCUGGCGGCGUGCCUAACACAUGCAAGUCGAGCGCGAAAGGGGGGCAACUCCUGAGUAGAGCGGCGAACGGGUGAGUAACGCGUGGGUAAUCUACCUUCGAGUGGGGAAUAACCCCGGGAAACUGGGGCUAGUACCGCAUGACAUCAUCGGGUCUUCGGGUCUGAUGAUCAAAGCCGGGGACCGCAAGGCCUGGCGCUUGAAGACGAGCCCGCGUCCGAUUAGCUAGUUGGCGGGGUAAUGGCCCACCAAGGCUUCGAUCGGUAGCCGGCCUGAGAGGGCGGACGGCCACGACGUGGGACUGAGACACGGCCCAGACUCCUACGGGAGGCAGCAGUGGGGAAUUUUUCGCAAUGGGGGAAACCCUGACGAAGCAACGCCGCGUGGAGGAUGAAGGCCUUCGGGUCGUAAACUCCUGUCGACGGACGAAAGUAGUCUGGCCCAAUACGCCGGCUAUCGACUGUACCGGUGGAGGAACGCCACGGCUAACUCGUCGUGCCCAGCAGCCGAC